rnacentral:lncRNA from 1 species
GCUAAAUCAGAGAAAGAGAGAAAAAUCAGAUAAUAAGGUUCUCCAUCACACUAGAACAAGGCUCAGACAAAUUGAUCCAUAUUGCAUAUCCAGUCAAGAUAAUCCUUUAGUAUUAGAUGUAGACAAUUCUGAGCCAUAUUAUCCUUCUGUAUCUAGCCUUCUAUGAAUACUGGCUCAUUAUGUAAUAUAUAUCUCGCUCGGGUAGCCUUUGGAAUAUCUGAGUUUGCAGUUGUGUCAUGUUUCCAGAACAAAUGGUGCUUCUAAAAACUCAAACCGUAGCCCUACCCUAGAAUCCAAAGUCAGAGUUGUUUUUUCAUUGCCAUAUGUGAGAAACCAACAAGCUAAUGCGAGGGAUCCAAGUCUAACACAUCUGAUGCCUAAUGUUCCAGGGACCUCCAAGCAGAGUGUGUUUAUGCUUAUUAGUAUUUUUAAAAGGUAAAUAACAAAGAAAUUUGUGCUGAUUAGAUUGUAGGAUAUGCAAGGUGGCAGAAGCAACUAGCGAAGCAUCCAUAAUGUACUGUACCAUUACGAGAAAUACCUCAAGCCACUUGAGGGGAAAAUAUUUGAGGGCAAGCUACUUGCUGGAGCACUUUCUGGGUGAACAUCUUCAAUUGGAAUGUCCUGACGAGGAGGUCCAUCAUUCAUACUUUCUUGCAGAGCCCGUGCAAGCUGUUCAUCUUCAUCUAGGUCAUGACCAGUAUCUGGUACAUUAUUAUGACACAAAGCAUUACAAUUCAUGGUUCUGACCAACAGUACUCAUUUGUUAAACAAGAACUGCUAUUUGCAAUUCUUUGGUAAGUACUCAAGAAUCAAAUUUAAUAUUACAGGAAUACCCUGUCUAAUAAAGUUGUGUUAUUUUUUUGAACGACAAAGUUGUGUUAUUUUUGGUCCCUAACUUGAGAAAUGAGAGCUCAAUAUUUUAUCCCUGAACUUGCAUAUGUGGUCAAGGCAUGCACAAGCAAUAUUUGGGUUGCUUAUUUGACUUUGCAGUCAUAAUGUGAAAUUAAUGAACAAUUAUCUGAAUGAAUAUUCGAAAAUGAGGUCCAUCAUUCAUACUUUCUUGCAGAGCCCGUGCAAGCUGUUCAUCUUCAUCUAAAUGAUGCCCGGUAUCUGGUUCAUAAUUAAAAUAAAAACAUGACAGCAUUAGAAUUCAUAUUUCUGACUAUCCGUGCUUAUAUGAAUAUGCUUUUCCUCAAACACCUUAUAAAAACC